rnacentral:rRNA from 1 species
UGAGUAACACGUGGAUCAUCUACCUUCUGGUGAGGAAUAACCAUGGGAAACCGUGGCUAAUACCGCAUAAGCUCGAGAGAGGAAAGCAGCAAUGCGCCGGAAGAGGAGUCCGCGGCCGAUUAGCUAGUUGGCAGGGUAAAAGCCUACCAAGGCGAAGAUCGGUAGCCGGCCUGAGAGGGCACACGGCCACACUGGCACUGAAACACGGGCCAGACUCCUACGGGAGGCAGCAGUGGGGAAUCUUGCACAAUGGGGGAAACCCUGAUGCAGCGACGCCGCGUGAGCGAUGAAGCCCUUCGGGGUGUAAAGCUCUUUCGGCAGGGAAGAUGGUGACGGUACCUGCAGAAGCAGCUGCGGCUAACUACGUGCCAGCAGCCGCGGUAAUACGUAGGCAGCAAGCGUUGUUCGGAGUUACUGGGCGUAAAGGGUGUGUAGGCGGUUGUUUAAGUUUGGUGUGAAAUCUCCCGGCUCAACUGGGAGGGUGCGCCGAAUACUGAAUGACUCGAGUGCGGGAGAGGAGAGUGGAAUUCCUGGUGUAGCGGUGAAAUGCGUAGAUAUCAGGAGGAACACCGGUGGUGUAGACGGCUCUCUGGACCGUAACUGACGCUGAGACACGAAAGCGUGGGUAGCAAACAGGAUUAGAUACCCUGGUAGUCCACGCCCUAAACGAUGCAUAUUUGGUGUGGGCCGUUCAGUCGGUCCGUGCCGGAGCUAACGCGUUAAAUAUGCCGCCUGGGGAGUACAGUCGCAAGGCUGAAACUCAAAGGAAUUGACGGGGGCCCGCACAAGCGGUGGAGCAUGUGGUUC